CCACUGGUUCCCAUACGAUCACCAAAGUUAAGCAAUGCCGAGCCUGGUCAGUACCUAGAUGGGUGACCACUUGGGAAAACCAAGUGUUGCAAG